rnacentral:rRNA from 1 species
AUGCCGAGGCGGCUCCUGGAGGGCGCCAUGGCGCUGGCGGUGACGCCGGACGCCGCCAACUCGUCGGGCUCCGGCGCCGCCCCCGGGUCGGGGCCCCUGUGGUGGGUGUCCGACUGCCACGGGGCCUGGUACAGCCUGGCGGUGAUGCUGCCGUCGCUGGCCUUCGUCGGGUUCCUGGCGUGGCAGGCCCGCCGCAGCUUCCGCCGGCUCAGCUACGGCCGCUCCCACGUCGUCGUCGUCGCCUACUACGCGCUCCUCUGGGCCGUCGCCCUCCUCAACCUCCUCUGGUGCUUCCUCCAGGCGUGGCAGUGUAUGCCUGAUAGGGCCUUCUCAUGGAAUGUGCUUUCAUUGUUUACCAAAUCUGGAAUGUUAUUCUUGGAAGUUAGUCUUAUAGCAUUUCUACUUCAAGGAAAUGAAGCCAGUGGUUAUGAGUCUCUGGGACGUACCUUUGUUAUCUCUGGUGCUGUAGUUAGUGCUGAUGUAUUGCUCAAGACCAUAUAUGUAUUCGGAUUUGGUGUUCCUUUGUUUAUCGAUGCUGACCAAGGAACUGGUGGGAAAUGGGGCCUAUGGAUUAUCCACAAAUUGGUGCUUACUGGAGUCUAUGGCUUGAUUGUUUUCAUGCAUCACUCAAGGUGGAAAGACAGGCUACCUGCAAAACCAGCAUAUUACCAGUAUGUGUGUGCAAUGCUGGCACUUAACGGCCUAUCGCUGUUUGGCUGUUUCCUCAUUGCAUGUGGAGCUGGAUUUGGUUUAUGGCUGUAUAACCUCACAACUGUCUGUUACCAUGCGCUUUACCUUCCACUUCUGUAUGUGACUUUCUUAGCAGACUUUUUCCAGGAGGAAGAUAUGCUUCUAGAGAAUGUAUACUACUCCGAGAUGAAAGACGCCGGGUUCUUUGAUGCUGACUGGGAUUAA